rnacentral:rRNA from 1 species
AUUGAACGCUGGCGGCAGGCUUAACACAUGCAAGUCGAGCGGAGUGAUGGUGCUUGCACUAUCACUUAGCGGCGGACGGGUGAGUAAUGCUUAGGAAUCUGCCUAUUAGUGGGGGACAACAUCUCGAAAGGGAUGCUAAUACCGCAUACGUCCUACGGGAGAAAGCAGGGGAUCACUUGUGACCUUGCGCUAAUAGAUGAGCCUAAGUCGGAUUAGCUAGUUGGUGGGGUAAAGGCCUACCAAGGCGAUGAUCUGUAGCGGGUCUGAGAGGAUGUUCCGCCUAACUGGGACUGAGACACGGCCCAGACUCCUGCGGGAGGCAGCAGUGGGGAAUAUUGGACAAUGGGGGGAACCCUGAUCCAGCCAUGCCGCGUGUGUGAAGAAGGCCUUAUGGUUGUAAAGCACUUUAAGCGAGGAGGAGGCUCUUUUGGUUAAUACCCAAGAUGAGUGGACGUUACUCGCAGAAUAAGCACCGGCUAACUCUGUGCCAGCCGCCGCAGUAA